rnacentral:rRNA from 1 species
ACGCUCGACACCUACGGGAGCAGCAGUGGGGAAUAUUGCACAAUGGGGGAAACCCUGAUGCAGCGGCGCCGCGUGAGCGAAGAAGUAUUUCGGUAUGUAAAGCUCUAUCAGCAGGGAAGAAAAUGACGGUACCUGACUAAGAAGCCCCGGCUAACUACGUGCCAGCAGCCGCGGUAAUCUGAGCGGGCUGGCAAGGC